ensembl:lncRNA MEG8 maternally expressed 8, small nucleolar RNA host gene
AUUGCGCCAUUGCACUCCAGCCUGGGCAACAAGAGUGAAACUCCAUCUCAAAAGAAAAAAAAAAGAAAACAAAACAAAAAAAGAAAAAACCAAUGUUCCAAUAGUUUCCCAAAUCAUGCUGAUGCUGCCUCCUGAGAAAUAUUUUCAGAAUCACUGAGAAAAAUGUAUGAAAUAGUUAAUGUCCUUGCUCUGUGUCAGUGGUGGAGGCUGUCUGCAGUAGGAGCAUGGAGACCAACAAUGGAUGCUCUUAAACUGAUUUAAGCACGCUUCCAUGGUCAGAAGCCUUAUGGUUGCCACAGGGUAUUAGGAGCAUGGAGACCAAUAAUGGAUGUCCUUGUUCUGAUUUGAGGAUGCCUCCAAGGUCACAUACUCUGUUUGCACCACGCUUAGGAAGGAGCGUGAAGACCAAGGGAAGAUGAUAAACACAGAUCAUGGAGGACUGUUUUAUCUGUUUGUGAUCUGCCGUCCUCUGUGAGCCUCAGGAUGGAUGUUUGCCAGCCGAUUCCAUGGUUACAAGCUCUAUAGCUGCAUCUAUGUGUUAGGAGCAUGAAGACCAAUAAUGGAUGCACUGAGCUGAUUAUGAAUUUAGCCCUGAUGAAGACUUGUGUUGCUGUCAUGAUAUGAAAGAUUCCAGUAAUGAACGCACUUGAGUUGAUUCAAGCACGCUUCCAUGGUCAUGAGCUCUGUGGUUGCAUCUGUGUGUUAGGAGCAUGCAGACCAAUAGUGAUAAUCUCGAGGUGAUUUAUGCAUUCUUCCAUGGCCACCAGCCUUAUGAUUGCAUCUGUGCGUCACAGCUUAGAGAUCAAUAAUGGAUGCAACAAGCUCUUUGAAUCAUUCUGUUGGGAUCAAGAUUGUUGUGUUCCCUCUGUUUGGAAAGAGACCAAGAAUGGAUACGCUCAGGUGAUUUAAGCAGUCUUCCAUGGCCACGAGCUCUGUGGUUGCCUCUGUAUAUUAAGAGCACAGAGAUUAAAAAUGGCCCCAUUCCAGCUGAUAUAAGCACUCUUCCAUGGCAUGUGCACUAUGGUUGGUUCUCUGUGUUAGGAGCACACAAACCAUUGCGAGUAUGCAUUCAUUUCCUCUCUUUACAAGAAUGGGUGCACUUGAGCCGAUUGAAACAUUCCUCCUUGCAUCUUUCUUCUGUGAUUGCAUCUAUUUGUUAGUAGCAUAGAGACCAAUAAUAGAUGGCUUGUGCUGAUGGAAGGAUUCCUCCCUGGUGACAUGCUGUGUCUGCCUCUUGAUUGGGAGCACGCAGACCUACAAUGAUGCACUUUUUAUGAUUUGAGAAUUCCUUCAUGGUCACGUGCUCUGUUUUUAUCAUGGUUGGGAGCCUGCAGAGCAAUAAGGGACAUGCCUUUGCUGAUUUGAGGAUUCCUCUGAGGUUGGGAGCUAAGUUUGCAUCAUGCUUAGAAAGGAGUGUGCAGACCUGUAAUGAUUGCACUUUGCUGAUUGAAGGAUUCCUUCAAGUCCAUGUGCUCCACUUGCACCAUUUUUAGGAUGGAGCCUGGAGACCUAUAAUGAACAACUUGUGCUGUGUUAAGGAUUCCUCCAUGAUCACGCGCCCCAUUUGUACACCAUGCUUGGGAAGGUGCAUGCAGACCAAUAAUGGACGUACUUGUGAUGAUUUAAAGAUGCCUCCAAGGUCACGUGCUCUGUUUGCACCAUGCUUAGGAAGGAGCGUACAGACCAAAAAUGGAUGAAUUGUGCACCUUGAAAAGUUCUUCCAUGGUCACCUGAGGCAUCUGCGUCAUGAUUAGGCUCCGGAUGACUAAUAACAGUCACUCCCUGCACUGAUUCUGCCAUGACCACUUGCUCUAUGGUUGUUUUAAGGAACCUACAGACAAAU